UUUUUUUUUUUUUUUUUUUUUUUUUUUUUUGCAUGUCCUGAGGCAUGUAGAAGUUCCCUGGGCUAGGGAUCAAACCCCUGCUACAGCAAGGACCAGAGUCGCUGCAGUGACAACAGCACUGGAUACUUAACCCGCUGUGCUACAAGAGAACUCCUGGAUUUAACUUUUCUAGUCAUUUCACCUGUUGUAACUCAUGAGGGAGACUUGAAGAAAGUCAUGUCUGCAAAAAAAAAAAUCACAGUGAUACCUAAGUUGUGGACCUUAGACCGGAACCCACCUCUGUCUGGUAUUCUGAUUCCCAGCCCUGUAUUUUCUUUUCUCACAGAUUCACAGAGGUUGAACAAAGGCUAAUGAAACAUGACUAAUGAAGGGUGAUUAUAGAGGAUGAUGGUGCUGGUGUAUGUGGACUUGACAUUCUUGCAGGUCAAAGCUUAAGUCAGAUACUCUGCAUUGAAUUUUACUGCAAACUGAGCAGGUUUUGCUGAGUGGAGAGCCUUUCGAGGAAGUAGGCAGUCAGUAUAACUGUCAUGACCAGCCAAGCUCAGAACGCAAGUGCAAGUCUAAAGUUCUGGAAUGCAAGUUAGAAUCUUCACUUAGAUUUUGUAGGAUCCAUGAUUUCUCUAGUAAAAUUUAAAUUUGGUGGAGUUCCUGUUGUGGCUUGGCAGAUUAAGAACUUGGCAUGGCUCGGAUCCUGCGUUGCUGUAGCUGUGGUGUAAGCUCGCAGCUGUAGGUCUGAUUGGACCCCCUUGCCUGAGAAUUUCCAUAUGCCAUAGGUGCAGCCCUAAAAAGCAAAAAAGGAAGGAAGGAAGAAAAGAGAAGAAAAAAGAAAGAAAAGAAAACGGACUUUUUUCUCUUUUUUUUUUUUUCGGUGGCCCAGCUGGGAUCAGAUCCCAGCUGCAGUCUCAACCUACGCCGCAGCUGUGGUAACGCUGGGUCCUUAACCACUGUGCUGGAGCCAGGGAACAAGCCUGCAUCCCAGUGCUCCCAAGACGUUGCCAGUGCUGAUCCCAUUGUGCCACCAUGGGAACUCUGAGAAAGCAGACUUUAAAUUGGAGGCCACUUGAGCCCUGAUUUCCCCAUUAUCAUCUCUGGGGGCCCCAUAGACCUGCUCCUGAGCUGGCAUUACAGUUACGGUUUUACUUUUGUUUGCCUGGUUAUCCAAUUGGCAACGGUUUUCACUCACAAGACCGUGUGUUCUGGAGUUCUCUUGUGCUGCAGAGGGUUAAGGAUCCAGCACUAUCAUGCUGUGCCUUGGGUUGCUGCUGUGGUACAGAUUUGAUCCCUGGCCUGGGAACUUCCACAUGCUGAGGGUGUGGCCAAAAGAAUAAAAGAGCACCUGCAUUCUCUGAGGGCAGAGAACAGGUUGAGUUUUCCUCGCCUCUCUAGCUUUUGGGCCAGCACACUGUAGACCCCCGAUUAAUAUUUGUUGGAUUAUUUAAUGUAUGAAUGAAUAGAUGAGUGAAUAGUGAGAAAGAAGGAACGAGGCCCUCCAGGCAUGGAGACAUUACAAACAAGGGGCAGAGGCAGGAAAACAUAGUACAGCAACCACUCAUGUUCGUGAGGUGCUUGAUUUAUUUGUAUGGUGCACAAAAUGCACUAACACACUAUCUGGUUUGAUCCCUACCAUCCCUUGUCUGGUUUGACCCUGCGCAAUGCGCAAGGCUGGCGCUAUUCCUGUUUUACAAUGAGAAAACAUGAAGCUCAAUGAUUUGUCUAAAGUGUCAUGGCUACCUAGUGUGAGUUUGGACUUGACCCUGGUGUUUUAGCACAAAGUCUGUGCAGUAACUGAAUUGCCUUCCCCCUUUGCCUUUCCCCAGGGGAACAUGUGGCAAGACACAUGUCUGGAGGGAUGGUCAGGGGCUACGUCACAGAAGGCCUUCAGUUUCAGGCUUAUCCUCAGAGUUUGGACUUUAUCUCCCAGCUGGGAAGUUUUUUUCUCUUAAGCUGUUUAAUAAAGGAUAAAUAUUAAUGAUAUUUAUGAGGUAUGGUAUAAAUUUAAUUGCGUAUUAAUAUUUAUUUAAAAUAAACAUAUGGAAAGUAAGUUUAAUCUUAAGAACCAAGAGUCAAAGACCCAGGAGUCAAAGGAGUCAUCUGUGUUGGACUCAGAGGGUUGUUCACCAAACACAACUUGAAGCAGCCCUGUAGUCCAGGCAUCCUGCUGGACGCUAAGGACACAGGGGUGACUGAGAUGCAGGUCAUUGUCAGGAUGAAGUGAGAUUGUGAAAGCAGCCAGAGCCAGCUCAAAGCUUCCUAUGGCCAUCCCGAAUAACGGAGGAUAUGUGAUUGAGCUGAAAAAGCCCUCGAUGGCAUCACCUCAAAACUGCACAGGUGGAGCUUCAGUUCAGAGGAGGUUCCUGGGGCGAAGCCCCUGCAGCAGCCCUUUGGCCUUGCCUCUGGGAUCAUCCCAGAGCAAAGAUGCAAAUGCUAUUAGCAGAUUGGACCACAAGGAUGCCUGCUUAGGAAACAGAGCCCCUGCUUGUACAUCAAGAGCUCACAGUACUGUAAGGCAGAAUCUGGGGAAAAGCAGGAUCAUCUUUUUUUUCCCCCCCUGGGCCGCACUCACAGCAAAUGGAACUUCCCAGGCUAGGGGUCAAAUCCAUGGCUGCCGAUCUAUGCCACAGCCAUAGCAAUGCUGGACUGGAGCCAUGUCUGCGACCUAAACCAGAGCUCGCAGCAAUGCCAGAUCCUCAACCCACUGAGCAAGGCAGGGAUCAAACCCAGAUCCUCAUGGUUCCUAGUCGGAUUCAUUACCGCUGAGCCACAACGGGAACUCCUAAGCAGGAUCAUCUUGCAGGGGUUUCCUAACAGUAUCCCCCAGGAAGAGCUUGAUAACUUGGGGGAGGGACAGGCAUCUUCCUAUUUCUUUCACUGCCAUGGCCAGUAUGGGUAUCCCUCUGAUGUGUCAGGAGUAAGAAAAAGGAUGGGAGUUCCCGUCGUGGCUCAGUGGUUAAUGAGUCUUACUAGGAACUAUGAGGUUGAGGGUUCAAUCCCUGGCCUCACUCGGUGGGUUAAGGAUCCGACGUUGCCGUGAGCUGUGGUGUAGGGUGCAGACGCGGCUCGGAUCCCAAGUUGCUGUGGCUGUGGGGUAGGCCGGCAGCUACAGCUCUGAUUAGACCCCUGGCCUGGGAACCUCCAUAUGCCAUGCGAGUGGCUCUAGAAAUGGCAAAAAGACCAAAAAAAAAAAAAAAAAAAAAAAAAAAAAAAA
ensembl:lncRNA